GAUUUCAUUCAGUUAUAUUGUUCACAUAUUUAACAAUUUAUGAUAAAAACAUUCACAAACACUCAAUUUAUCUGUGUUUUUAUAUCAGUAAUCAAUCAUUGUAUAUUUCUGUGAAACUAAAUGUGACGCGUGUUUAUGUCAGCAUGAACUAACUGAUUUCAACCAAUAAUAUCCUGAUACUCACCCGUCAAUCAAACACUCACUGAUUACUGUACAAACACACAACUUUAUCUGUUUGGUUGAAACUGGAUCAGAUUUCAUGGAGAGAAUAUUAACUGCUAAUGUAGCUGCUACUUUGAAACAAUAAAUAAAUAAAUGUGUGUAGAGUUUUGUCUUUAGACGUCGUUGGACAACAAACUAAAGUUAUUUUCAGACUGAAACAAACAAAACUGAAACGUAGAGAACUGAAUGAACUCAAACAGAGUUCAGGUUCACUUUGACUCCUCUGAUCAUUUAAACUGCUGUCGUUAAUAAAUGUGUUUGAAUCUCUGCCGCACCCUCCUCACACGCUGCUGUUAACUCUUUAUGAGCCCAGGAACAACAACAACAACAACAACAACAACAACGUCUGUGGCGUAUUUAAAUCUGCCUGUUAAAGGUCAUAAAACUGAUGAUGAGAUGUGUAAAUGCUGAAGAGGCGUUUUAAAGACGACACAUGAUGAAUAAUGACUUGAGGACUGCGAGGUCUUGAUGUUUACUCAGACAUGAAAAGCUGGAUCAGCUCUGAUGUGAUGUGUGUGGAUCCAGCAGAGAGCAGCUAAAGCCCAAAUAAUCCAGGUUUAAACCUGAACCUGGAUCCAGUCCAGCAGGCAGAGACACGAAUGAACCCACGAGAGUCACUGAACCUGAGCCAGUCCUCCAGUGUCUGUCCACCAGGGACAGGGAGUCCUGCUUCAGGUGUCUUCAGGUGUUCUUAAAGCAGUCGGCUGCAGACGUCGGAGCUGCAGGAAGGAGAGAAACCACAAACCCUCUGAAGAGUUCUGAAGAUCUCUGUCAGAUAAAGAGAGAGAAACAGAAACCUGUGGAGAGACUGAAAAAGGAAUAAAACUGUAAGUUUGAAGGAAGAAAGGUGGACGACAGGUGGACGACUGUAUUAUCAUCAACCGAAGACAAAAAGGUUGAAGAUGGAGAGAAUAAUCAGUUUGAAAUAGGAAAUAAAAGCAACAGGUGGAUGUUUCUGAGGACGGUGGAGAUCUUUUAUUUUUAAAGGAUCUUCCUGAAGAGAGGAGGAUGAAGAGAGGAUGAAGAGAGGAUGAAGGAAGGAGAGCUGGGAGGAAGUUCUCAGGAGAAUAAAGUUCGUCCACAGUGAAGAAACAAAGACGGAGGAAUAAUCAGACGACUUUGGUCUUCGUUGGACCGUCCUGAAUGUUCGGAACCACAGAUCCAGGAUCAGAACAGAGCCGGCUGGAUUAACCUCUGACCUCUGACCUCUGACCCAGGUUUGAUUUUUAACAUUUCUAACAUAAAACUUUGUGAUGAAAAAGGUUUCGAUUGUUUCUGUUUCUGUGAGUUUUAGUCUCGUUAACAAACCUUUAUUAAGACACGUAAAAGCUUGGACAUUCACAAAGACACACUGACUUCAUUAACUAAAACCUGUGACCUUUGACCCAGGUUAGAUUAUUCAUAAUCUGAAGCUGUUUAACUAAAUAUCACUUCUUCCAGGAUCUUGCAGGUUUUUGGGGAUAAAAUCGGAUUCGAAUUUAUUUAUUAAUAUAUUUAUGUUUUGUAUAAUUUAUUAGAAAUCGAAGGGAAGUUGUUCCAGUGAGCAUAAACCUGUAGUUUGUAGUUUGGUGACGUUGGGCUGAACAUUUGGGGAGGGGACGGCUGUGAUUGGUCAGAAUUCUCAACCAUUAACUGGAUAAAACACUAGCUAACUAAUCUACAUCCAUGGUUAGCUGGCUAGUUAGCAGCAAUUACUGUGGCUGCUAAUGAUUCCAACACUGAAGCACCAAACGCUGCAGUUCCUCCAGCGCCCACUAGAGGCUCCUGCAGUUCCUCCAGCGCCCACUAGAGGCUCCUGCAGUUCCUCCAGCGCCCACUAGAGGCUCCUGCAGUUCCUCCAGCGCCCACUAGAGGCUCCUGCAGUUCCUCCAGCGCCCACUAGAGGCUCCUGCAGUGAAACUGCAAACAGUUUACAGCCUGUUGCUCUGUACGUUAAUACAACUCCCCCCUUUACAUUAUAUCAACACUUAAAGUUAUUAAUAAUUAAGCUCCACCUCUUUGACCAUUG
rnacentral:lncRNA from 15 species